AGGUGAUUGAGGUAAAAUACACCAUGUCAUGAUCCCGCAAAAGGAAAGAGCUCUUCACUCAAUAUUACCGAGGUAUGAUAACCCACUUACAGUACUACAGCUUGUUCGUGUGGCCUAACAGCAACAAAUCUGAGGGGCAGACCAGAGAAAGAAGACUUUGGCCAACAUGCAUGUUCCAGACCAGCCACUGGAUCUGCUCCCCCACCCUGCUUCCGUCAUUUGGAGAACAGCUGCUUGGUGGACAGGGAAAACAGAUUUUAUAUUAUUCAUUUAUUUUGCAGGACAAUUUCAUAUUUCCAGCGUUGUAAUAUUUCCCCAAAUGCUGAAUUUCUUCCUGUUGCCAUAUACUUUGUUAGAAAAAACAAAAAACAUGCCCCUCAUUAGGAAGGAAAACACACCCCAGGGUGUAUCGCCUCGCAGUUUAUGUACACCAUCAGGUGGUUGAAGUCUGACAUAAAAGAUUAUAAUAUGCAGCCUAUUAGAUGGGUUCCAUUAAGACCACAUGUUCUGUCACAUAUUUACGGUUCUCAGUGGAGGCACAGACUGGAAAGAACACAUUCUUAUGGAAUAUAAAUCUUCAUGUUAUUAUACCUUUAUUAUAGAGCCCCAUGUGCACUGUGAAUGCUGGCGCUACAUAAUAAUAAUCCCUUCUCCAAAGAGCUUGCCAUUUAAUAGGAUGUCAGCUGUGUGUAUGGGGGAGAUGCACUAAGCUUUGGAGAGAAAUAAAGUGGAUAGAAACAAGCUACCAACCAACCGGCUCCUAACUGUCAUUUUUCAAACACCGCCUGUAACAUGGCAGUUGGAAGCUGAUUGGCUGGUACUUUAUCUCUCUCCACUUUAACUGCCCUAUAUGACUGCAAAUUGGUGGUAUAAUUUGAGCUGAUUGCUACGCUGUAUUACCUCGACAGCAACACAGCUGUUUUGGGAAAUCACUGGCUGAAAUAUUUCUAAAGAUGACAAUUUUCUAAACGCUUAAGUGCACGAUUCCGACAAUACAUUUUAUGGUGAAGUCACAGGUGUGCUUUGCAUGUUCCAGGUAGUGAAGCGUAUUCAAAGGGCUCAUUAAUUGCCAUGGUGGCUGGUUGAAUUGUAGAAGAAACAUUGGGCCUAAUUCAGACCUGAUCGCUGUUGUGCGAAUUCGCACAGUAGCCGAUUAUUGAAUGACCGCGCAUGCAUACGGAUCGUAAUGCACAGGCGCGACUCCAAACAGCAAACACAUCCUGUGGGGUUUUUUUUAUUGCUAGGCGAACUCAGGUUGAUUGACAGGAAGCAGACCUUUGGGGGUGGUACCUGGCUGUUUUUUGGAAAGUGUCAGGAAAAAUGCAGGAGUUCCCAAGCGCUUUCAAGGUGGGUGUGUGACUUCAGCUCUGAUCCCGAUCAGCCUGUUUGUAACACACUGUAGGAGUAAGUCCUGGGCUACGCACACACUGCACAGACUGGAAAAAUCAUUCAAUGGUGAGUGAGUUGCGAACGGAUUUGCAGAUGUCCGCUGUCUGACUAAGUUUUCGCAUGGCGUACACACUCUCUAUGGGCGGCGGCUAUCUGAUUGCAGACAUCUGCAUAAACGCAGUGGACGAUCAGGUCUGAAUAAGGCCCAUUGAGAGUUGAAUGACUAGUUACGCAAUCUGUGGAAGUGCCUACUACCUGACUUUUAUGUUUUUUCGUUUUUUCAUUAAAAAAUACAUUUGUGGCCUGGAUUGUGAGGAUGAGGGGUCAAAUAUAUCAUGUUGCUGAAUUGGCGCCUAUUGUGUUAAUGGCAAC